rnacentral:rRNA from 1 species
UGAAUUUUAGUUAAGNCAGCCCGAAACCAGACGAGCUACUCACAAACAGUUUACCAAGAACUAACUCAUGCUAUGUGGCAAAAAUAGUGAGAAGAUUUGUAAGUAGAGGUGACAUGCCUAACGAGCCUGGUGAUAGCUGGUUGUCCAGAAAANGAAUCUAAGUUCAGCUUUAAAGAUACCAAAAUUCAAAUAAACCCCACUGUAGCUUUAAAAGUUAGUCUAAAAAGGUACAGCCUUUUAGAAACGGGAUACAACCUGGACUAGAGAGUAAAAUGUUAACACUACCAUAGUAGGCCUAAAAGCAGCCAUCAAUUAAGAAAGCGUUAAAGCUCAACAACAAAUUAAAUAGAUUCCAACAACAAAUGAUUAACUCCUAGCCCCAAUACUGGACUAAUCUAUUAUAGAAUAGAAGCAAUAAUGUUAAUAUGAGUAACAAGAAAAAUUUUCUCCUUGCAUAAGUCUAAGUCAGUGCCUGAUAAUACUCUGACCACUAACAGUCAAUAAAAAUAAUCCAACAAUAAACAAUUUAUUGAUUAUACUGUUAACCCAACACAUGGAGUGCAUAUAAGGAAAG